rnacentral:rRNA from 1 species
GUAAGUUUGUAAAUUUUAUUGCGUUGGGGUGACGGGAAGUAACAUAACACGUUCAAGCCCAAACCUGAAUUAAUGAAUAGAUGAUCCUAAAGGAUUUUAAAACUAAGUUACCUUGGGGAUAACAGCGUAAUCUAUUUUUAGAGUCCUUAUCAACAAAUAGGAUUGCGACCUCGAUGUUGGAUUAAGAGCCAAAUAAAGCGCAACCGUUUUAUUUUGUGGUCUGUUCGACCAUUAAACUCUUACGUGAUCUGAGUUCACACCGGGAAAGGUUCGUUUGUUCAACGAUUAAAGUCCUACGUGAUCUGAGUUCAGACCG